CACGCUGGCGGCGUGCCUAAUACAUGCAAGUCAACGGUCUUUCUAUGGAAGCUUGCUUCCACUGAGAAGAUAGUGGCGAACGGGUGAGUAACACGUGGGUAACCUGCCCAUAAGAGGGGGAUAACAUCCGGAAACGGGUGCUAAUACCGCAUAGUUUUCUUGAUCGCAUGAUCGGGAAAGGGAAGACGGCCUUUGUGCUGUCGCUUAUGGAUGGACCCGCGGCGUAUUAGUUAGUUGGUGAGGUAACGGCUCACCAAGACGAUGAUACGUAGCCGACCUGAGAGGGUGAUCGGCCACAUUGGGACUGAGACACGGCCCAAACUCCUACGGGAGGGCAGCAGUAGGGAAUCUUCCGCAAUGGACAAAAGUCUGACGGAGCAACGCCGCGUGAGUGAAGAAGGUUUUCGGAUCGUAAAACUCUGUUGUCAGAGAAGAACAAGUUGGAGGGUAACUGCUCCAGCCUUGACGGUAUCUGACCAGAAAGCCACGGCUAACUACGUGCCAGCCGCCGC
rnacentral:rRNA from 1 species